rnacentral:rRNA from 1 species
UACGGAGGAUGCGAGCGUUAUCCGGAUUUAUUGGGUUUAAAGGGUGCGCAGGCGGCACGGCAAGCCGGCGAUCAAAUCGCGGGGCUCAACCCCGCCCAGCCGUCGGAACUGCCGGGCUAGAGUGGGCGAGAAGUGCGCGGAAUGCGUGGUGUAGCGGUGAAAUGCAUAGAUAUCACGCAGAACUCCGAUUGCGAAGGCAGCGCACCGGCGCCCUACUGACGCUCAGGCACGAAAGCGUGGGUAUCGAACAGG